rnacentral:rRNA from 1 species
AGUGAACGCUGGCGGUAGGCCUAACACAUGCAAGUCGAACGGCAGCACAGUAAGAGCUUGCUCUUACCGGUGGCGAGUGGCGGACGGGUGAGGAAUACAUCGGAAUCUACUUUUUCGGGGGGGAUAACGUAGGGAAACUUACGCUAACACCGCAUAUGACCUACGGGUGAAAUCAGUGGAUCAUGGGACCUUUCCCGAUUGAUUGAGCCGAUGUCGGAUUAGCUAGUUGGGGGGGUAAAGGCCCACCAAGGCGACGAUGCGUAGCUGGUCUGAGAGGAUGAUCGGCCACACUGGAACUGAGACACGGUCCAGACUCCUACGGGAGGCAGCAGUGGGGAAUAUUGGGCAAUGGGCGCAAGCCUGAUCCAGCCAUACCGCGUGAGUGAAGAAGGCCUUCGGGUUGUAAAACCCUUUUGUUGGGAAAGAAAAGCAGCAGAUUAAUACCCCGCUGUUCUGACGGUACCCAAAGAGUAAGCACCGGCUAACUACGUG